rnacentral:misc_RNA from 1 species
UCACAAAGGGCGAAACACUGACCUAAAGAGAAACAUAAAUGGAAGUCAGAAAAAUGUGAAUGAGGAAUGAAUGCAGCCAGCAUAGAGAAAAAGAACUAGACCCAUCAAGGAUACAACCCAUUAUCCUCCUUAAUGGGAUUAGAGAUUGUGUGAAUGUACUAAAUAGCUUGUAUCUUUGUAGUAACUAUACUGCCAUACUUUUUUUGUACUUGUACAAUUCAGAAGUGAGUUGUAGUUGAAUCCUGCAUAUAAAACAUGUUUACCGUAAUAAUAUAUUUUACAAUGUUUUUAUUGUAAAUUACACUUUAGAUUGUUAAGUGUAAAAUGAAAUAAAAAUUAGUUAAUAUC